rnacentral:snRNA from 1 species
GUGCUUGCUUUGGCAGCACAUAAACUAAACUUGGAAUGAUACAGAGAUGAUUAGCACGUCCCCUGCACGAGGAUGACAUGCAAAUUCGUGAGGUAAUCCAUAUUUUA